GUGAACCGGACACCGCGAGGAUUGACAGACUGAGAGCUGUUUCUCGAUUCGGUGGGUGGUGCAUGGCCGUUCUUAGUUGGUGGAGCGAUCUGUCUGGUUAAUUCCGAUAACGAACGAGACCCCAACCUGCUAACUAGCCCUCGGGUCCUGCUUCUGUUGGGCCCGACGGAAUGAUUCGCUUCUUAGAGGGACUCGCGGCGCCUAGCCGCACGAAGGGGGGCGAUAA
rnacentral:rRNA from 1 species